UAUACAUAUUAUUCAACACACAAAAGCCUAAACGUCAAAAUUUAAUUACAUUCUUAGAACUGCACCAAAAAGUAAUAUGACUCAAAUUAAAAUGGAGCCGGUUUUCAACUGAGGACGUAUAUUUUUUUUAUUGUCCGGAAACGAACAAUAUUAUUAAUAGAAAGAAUAAAACAUCUGAGUUUUUCGUGGUUUUAAACAAUGCUAGUUGCAUUUAGCUUUAUACAUAAAUUAAAAUAAAAUUAAUAAUCAAGGUUGAAGUAAUUUUUCGCCAUAAUUUUCAGUUUCAACUACAUUUUUCAUGUUUCACGGUAAAUUAUUUUAUAAAAAUCAUUGAUGAACAUUUAAGUCUUAUUGGUCAUCCGAUGAUCGAAAUUCAAUCAUAAUCUUAAAUCCCUCAAGAAAUAUACGAAUGAUCUCUUAUGAAGAAAAAAAAACUAAUACCAAAUAUUUUUUUGAAUUCGCACUGACAUGCUUACAAAUGCAUUUUGUAUUUCAUCAAUUAAAUGGACGCAGGUGCAAACUACAUGGCUUUGUUCUUGAGAAAUCAUUUACUAAACAUUGCGUACAUACUCGUGACAUCGCCAUGACACGUAUAACUCGAAAAGGAGCGAAUAUGCGUUGUAUUGGAGGACGAUGAAGUGUUCUCAUUACAGAAACCAUUUAUAGACCGGAUUUAAACUUAAUGCCGCUCCUGGGCACCGGAGAAAGAUCCACCACAAUACUGGAAGAUUUAUAUUAAGAUAUAUUUUAUUUUUCAAAAUUGAAUAACAAAUUUAUUGCAGAAAAUUAAAAAAACCCAUGGAAUUCCAUUCUGAUAAUAUGUGUAUAUGCACUAUAGUGAGCUCACAAUGUGCGCUACUACCAGUAAAAAUUGGUUAAAAUGGCUGUCAAAAAUUUAAAAUCGAUCUCACUCACUCUCCGCUAAUUACAACUAAAAACUAAUCUCAUACUGAGACAACAGCCAUAACAUCAAACAAAUUAACUUUACCACACAGCACUGAAUAUUCUAUCAAGCGAAUGAGUUUCGAAUUCGGCUGCGAGGAUUCUACCUGUCAUUCGCCUGUUCAAUUAAGACUUCAUCGCAAGUUGAAAAUUCUCCUAUUUCAAACUUUCAUAUAAUCCUAAUGAAAAAGUUCAUUAGUAACCUAGGACUUUGCUAAUAUGAAACCAGUGGACGAAGCGUACGCAUUUAACUCUUUAUCUUUUAAUAAUAAAUGAAGCACAGUGUGCAAAUAUACAUA